CUUCCCUUGUGGAUGUGAAAACGCAGAGGAGUCCCCGGCUUUGCAGUGUGAAAAGAGAGGAUGAGGGCAAUGCCCAGGGCAGCAGUGGUGGUGUCCCCAUUCUUGGAGACACAUGGACAUGGCAUUAAGGGAUGUGGCCUAAUGAUGGGACUCGGUAGGUCAGGCUGAUGGUUGGACUUGGCGAUCAUGAAGUUCUUUCCCAACAUUCAUGAUUCUGUGAUUUUACUGCUAACAGCAAGAGCAAGCCCAGCAGUACAGCCACCAGAGCAUGGCCAACAGGACGAGCCAUUUCAGCAGUGAAAAUCCUGACGGCCCGCUGAGGCUGGCACACAGCCACUGCCAUGCACCGGCAUGGCCGCACCCACCGCGCUGCGGAUGACCUUUGGCUCACACCCCCCGCAGCACAGCUCCACUUCCUGCUCCAGCACUCAUUGCAGGAGCUGCCGAGCUGUGGUCUGCAGAAAGAGGAAGGGAGAGAGCAGCACACAGCCCCUCUGCGAGCACAGAGCCGUCAGCGCCGAGCUGCAGGACUCGAUAGCGAGGGAUUCUCAUAACGAAGCGCAUUCGUUUUCCUUUUGUCACAUCUGCCCACUGGCAUUACUCAUGCUGCAGGUUGGUCACGCGCUGCUCUUGAUCUCCGGUGCUGCUCAGACCGCAAUGCCUGACACUGGCACAGCUCCACGCACAGCAUCUCAGGAUUCUCCCUUCCCAGCUGCAUAAUCCCUCAAACUUCAGAUGCUGAUAAACGGAAAAACAUCUCUGAGGUCUGGGAGCUGCUCACCUUCGUUCCCACCCAUUGACCCCAGCCUGUGCCCAUGGGGGGUCCCAUGGCACCGCAGCUUUCAAGACCAGUCUAAGGAGCAGCCUCCUCGGGCCCUGCUCUUCCCACAGCCACGCUGCUUUGUUUAGAGGAACUGAAACCAACCACGUCAGAGCUCAUUGGCAGCCUGUAACUGCAGCAGGCUAUUUUUCACUCCACCACAUUGUGCAAGGCGGAGAGUGGCCCUGUGGCCACAGCCUCGUUGCCCACUAGCACCCAGCAAGCUCCUCCUGGGGCAGUGUGCUCCCUGUGCUGCACGGAGGAGGGCAGCAGCAGCAGGGCAUGCAGAGGUGAUCACUGCAGGAGCUCUGGUCCAUUAACCCAAUUUGCACACUGAAGCCUCUCACUCUUCUUAUUGCCCUACCACUGUUCUUAAGUAACAUAAAGAAAUAAAUGAACCUUGCCAAUCA